rnacentral:rRNA from 1 species
UACGGGGGGAGCAAGCGUUUUUCGGAUUUACUGGGCGUAAAGGGCGCGUAGGCGGCGUAACAAGUCACUUGUGAAAUCUCCGGGCUUAACCCGGAGCGGCCAAGUGAUACUGUUGUGCUAGAGUGCGGAAGGGGCUACUGGAAUUCUCGGUGUAGCGGUGAAAUGCGUAGAUAUCGGGAAGAACACCCGUGGCGAAGGCGGUUCUCUGGGACGGUACUGACGCUGAGACGCGAAAGCGUGGGGAGCGAACAGG